AACGUAGGAGGCGAGCGUUAUCCGGAUUCACUGGGCGUAAAGCGCGCGUAGGCGGUUUGUUAAGUCGGAUGUGAAAGCCCCUGGCUCAACUGGGGGAGGUCAUUCGAUACUGGCAGGCUUGAGGGUGAGAGAGGGGAGUGGAAUUCCCGGUGUAGCGGUGGAAUGCGUAGAGAUCGGGAGGAACACCAGUGGCGAAGGCGGCUCCCUGGCUCACUCCUGACGCUGAGAGCGCGAAAGCGUGGGGAGCAAA
rnacentral:rRNA from 1 species